GAUGAACGCUGGCGGCGUGCCUAAUACAUGCAAGUCGAGCGAACAGACGAGGAGCUUGCUCCUCUGACGUUAGCGGCGGACGGGUGAGUAACACGUGGAUAACCUACCUAUAAGACUGGGAUAACUUCGGGAAACCGGAGCUAAUACCGGAUAAUAUAUUGAACCGCAUGGUUCAAUAGUGAAAGACGGUUUUGCUGUCACUUAUAGAUGGAUCCGCGCCGCAUUAGCUAGUUGGUAAGGUAACGGCUUACCAAGGCGACGAUGCGUAGGCGACCUGAGAGGGUGAUCGGCCACACUGGAGCUGAGACACGGUCCAGACUCCUACGGGAGGCAGCAGUAGGGAAUCUUCCGCAGUGGGCGAAAGCCUGACGGAGCAACGCCGCGUGAGUGAUGAAGGUCUUCGGAUCGUAAAACUCUGUUAUUAGGGAAGAACAAAUGUGUAAGUAACUAUGCACGUCUUGACGGUACCUAAUCAGAAAGCCACGGCUAACUACGUG
rnacentral:rRNA from 1 species